CUCGGGAAAUAGUUAGUUUUGUUUUCCCUCGAAUCUCAAUGUUGAGAUUCUCGGGAAAACAAAAACAUUGAGAUUCUCGGGAAAACAAAACUAACUAUUUCCCUC
rnacentral:miRNA from 1 species